GCGAAUCUGGUACCGGGACUUGGGGAGCGAGGGAUGCAACAUGGUGCAUCUGGGAGGCCUGCUAACUGGCUAACUUCUCCGGCGUUCCUCCCGGCCGAGGCGUGGGCACAGAAUAGCGCAGGUGAGGCCCAGAUAUGGUGUCUCGAUACGGCGCGGAAGGUCAGUAUGUACCUCGUUUUGUAUAUUGUCUUGAAACUUUACUCCUUUGUAUGUUUGAAGACAUCAUUUUCCAGUUUUGGAGCCGACUAAUGAACUAGUUCUUAAGUGAAAGGCAUUUAACACGACUGUGCAUCUACAGGUACUAGGUUUCCAAGAUGCCUUUCCAGACUAAAACCCACACAUGUGAGCCGCUGGCCGGACAAACAUCUGGCACCUAACGUGGGGCUGAAAAACAGCAGAGGACAUUUGGAAGAAACACUGCUGGUUUGGAGCUCCAUAGAAGAAGAAAAUAAUUAAAGGAAAUUCAUACCAGAGAAGAGACCUGAAUGGUUUGCACCAAAACACAAACACAAACCAUUGGGAGAGUGAUUGGUGAAGUGAUGGACAUUUACUCGGGCAAAGGCAUGCAUGUAAAAUAGUCCCUAUCUGGAUGGACCUACGCCUGUGGCAGGAAGUUCACUGGUCAAUUACCUGCUGACUGAAGUGGCCUAUUUUCUUCUGACCCCCUGCUUCUCUCUUCCCCUCUCCGCCCUGAAAGCUGUUUGGGCAUAGGGAGGUCUUGACCUGAGGAAACCAUCUUGGGUAACCAAGGCAAGGAAAGGGAAUAUGCAACACCUAGGAGAUUUCAGCAAACAGUAGAAUCAUGCCAACGUAA
rnacentral:lncRNA from 1 species